AGAGUUUGAUCAUGGCUCAGGAUGAACGCUGGCGAGAUGCUUUACACAUGCAAGUCGUACGAGAGUUUGAAACUCAAGUGGCGGACGGGUGAGUAACACGUAAGAAUUUACCUCUAGGAGGGGGACAACAGACAGAAAUGACUGCUAAUACCCCAUAUGCUUUUGAGUGAAAUGGAUUUUUCCGCCUAGAGAGAAGCUUGCGGCUGAUUAGCUUGUUGGUAAGGUAAUGGCUUACCAAGGCGACGAUCAGUAUCUGGUUUGAGAGGAUGAUCAGACACACUGGAACUGAGACACGGUCCAGACUCCUACGGGAGGCAGCAGUGGGGAAUUUUCCGCAAUGGGCGAAAGCCUGACGGAGCAAUCUCGCGUGAGGGAUGACUGCCUAUGGGUUGUAAACCUCUUUUUUCAGGGAGGAAUCAAUGACGUGUACCUGAAGAAUAAGCAUCGGCUAACUCCGUGCCAGCAGCCGCGGUAAGACGGAGGAUGCAAGUGUUAUCCGGAAUCACUGGGCGUAAAGCGUCUGUAGGUGGUUUAAUAAGUCAACUGUUAAAUCUUGAAGCUCAACUUCAAAAUCGCAGUCGAAACUAUUAGACUUGAGUAUAGUAGGGGUAAAGGGAAUUUCCAGUGGAGCGGUGAAAUGCGUAGAGAUUGGAAAGAACACCGAUGGCGAAGGCACUUUACUGGGCUAUUACUGACACUCAGAGACGAAAGCUAGGGUAGCAAAUGGGAUUAGAUACCCUAGUAGUCC
rnacentral:rRNA from 1 species